GGGGGAAUAUUGCGCAAUGGGCGAAAGCCUGACGCAGCGACGCCGCGGGAGGGAUGAAGGUUUUCGGAUCGUAAACCCCUGUCAGAAGGGAAGAAACCGCACUGUGCUAAUCAGCAGUGCCUUGACGGUACCUUCAAAGGAAGCACCGGCUAACUCCGUGCCAGCAGCCGCGGUAAUACGGAGGGUGCAAGCGUUAAUCGGAAUUACUGGGCGUAAAGCGCACGUAGGCUGCUUUGUAAGUCAGGGGUGAAAUCCCACGGCUAAACCGUGGAACUGCCUUUGAUACUGCUUAGCUUGAAUCCGGGAGAGGGUGGCGGAAUUCCAGGUGUAGGAGUGAAAUCCGUAGAUAUCUAGAAGAACAUCAGUGGCGAAGGCGGCCACCUGGACCGGUAUUGACGCUGAGGUGCGAAAGCGUGGGGAGCAAACAGG
rnacentral:rRNA from 1 species